rnacentral:rRNA from 1 species
UACGAAGGGGGCUAGCGGUGUUCGGAAUCACUGGGCGUAAAGCGCACGCAGGCGGAUCGAUAAGUCGGGGGUGAAAGCCCGGGGCUCAACCUCGGAAUUGCCUUCGAUACUGUCGGUCUCGAGUCCGGGAGAGGUGAGUUGAAUUCCUAGUGUAGAGGUGAAAUUCGCAGAUAUUAGGAAGAACACCAGUGGCGAAGGCGGCUCACUGGCCCGGUACUGACGCUCAGGUGCGAAAGCUUGGGGAGCAAACAGG